ensembl:lncRNA
GUUUUAUUCAGCUUUGGUUGUAGUUACUCGAUUGUUAUUAACUUACAGAUGUUAAGCAAUUAACAAGUGCCACCAAAAUGAGGAUAUGGCGGCAGACCACUUGUCAUGUCCUAUACGUUCACAUGUGGUGCUAAUUUCCUGUUACAUUAUUUAAUUACCAACUGAUUUGGCGCAGUUUCCAGCGCUGAGGACAACAGGUUUCUUCUUCUGCUCUGCAGUUACUCUGAGAUGUAACUUUGACAGUGGGGAAAGCCCGGACGUCUCUGCUGUACCGCGGCGAUGCACACUGAUGUCCUCAUUGCGGUGGGAUUCGAACCCGGGCUGACACCACCACCCAACAGCGUGACCACGCCACCAUGUCAUUCCCCCUAUAACAUCUCUUUGUUGCCUUUGACUUCUUCUGACUGAGCUAUUUGUUCACACCGCCUUUAUGCAGCUCUGAUAAAACAGAUAACAGAUAAAACAAAUAAAC